ACGGAGGGUGCGAGCGUUAAUCGGAAUUACUGGGCGUAAAGCGCAUGCAGGUGGUUUGUUAAGUCAGAUGUGAAAGCCCGGGGCUCAACCCCGGAAGGUCAUUUGAAACUGGCAAACUAGAGUACUGUAGAGGGGGGUAGAAUUUCAGGUGUAGCGGUGAAAUGCGUAGAGAUCUGAAGGAAUACCAGUGGCGAAGGCGGCCCCCUGGACAGAUACUGACACUCAGAUGCGAAAGCGUGGGGAGCAAACAGG
rnacentral:rRNA from 1 species